UUUGUACUAAACAUAGGUACUGA
rnacentral:miRNA from 1 species